GACGAACGCUGGCGGCGUGCUUAACACAUGCAAGUCGAACGAAAAGAGGGAAAGAGCUUGCUCUUUCCGGAAUUGAGUGGCAAACGGGUGAGUAACACGUAAACAACCUGCCUUCAGGAUGGGGACAACAGACGGAAACGACUGCUAAUACCGAAUAAGUUCCAAGAGCCGCAUGGCCCAUGGAAGAAAAGGUGGCCUCUACCUGUAAGCUAUCGCCUGAAGAGGGGUUUGCGUCUGAUUAGCUGGUUGGAGGGGUAACGGCCCACCAAGGUGACGAUCAGUAGCCGGUCUGAGAGGAUGAACGGCCACACUGGAACUGAGACACGGUCCAGACUCCUACGGGAGGCAGCAGUGGGGAAUCUUCCGCAAUGGGCGAAAGCCUGACGGAGCAACGCCGCGUGAGUGAUGACGGCCUUCGGGUUGUAAAACUCUGUGAUCCGGGACGAAAAGGCAGAGUGCGAAGAACAAACUGCAUUGACGGUACCGGAAAAGCAAGCCACGGCUAACUACGUGCCAGCAGCCGCGGUAAUACGUAGGUGGCAAGCGUUGUCCGGAAUUAUUGGGCGUAAAGCGCGCGCAGGCGGCUUCCCAAGUCCCUCUUAAAAGUGCGGGGCUUAACCCCGUGAUGGGAAGGAAACUGGGAAGCUGGAGUAUCGGAGAGGAAAGUGGAAUUCCUAGUGUAGCGGUGAAAUGCGUAGAGAUUAGGAAGAACACCGGUGGCGAAGGCGACUUUCUGGACGAAAACUGACGCUGAGGCGCGAAAGCGUGGGGAGCAAAC
rnacentral:rRNA from 1 species